UCUACGGGUGGCAGCAGUGGGGAAUAUUGGACAAUGGGCGAAAGCCUGAUCCAGCCAUGCCGCGUGUGUGAAGAAGGCCUUCGGGCUGUAAAGCACUUUCAGUGGGGAAGAAAGCCUUGGGGCUAAUACCCUCGAGGAAGGACAUCACCCACAGAAGAAGCACCGGCUAACUCCGUGCCAGCAGCCGCGGUAAUACGGAGGGUGCGAGCGUUAAUCGGAAUUACUGGGCGUAAAGCGCGCGUAGGCGGUCUGAUAAGCCGGUUGUGAAAGCCCCGGGCUCAACCUGGGAACGGCAUCCGGAACUGUCAGGCUAGAGUGCAGGAGAGGAAGGUAGAAUUCCCGGUGUAGCGGUGAAAUGCGUAGAGAUCGGGAGGAAUACCAGUGGCGAAGGCGGCCUUCUGGACUGACACUGACGCUGAGGUGCGAAAGCGUGGGUAGCAAACAGGAUUAGAUACCCGAGUAGUC
rnacentral:rRNA from 1 species